UAAAAGCGCGCGUAGGCGGUUAGUUAAAGUUGGAUGUGAAAUCCCCUGGGUCAACCUGGGAACUGCAUUCAAAACUGACUGACUAGAGUAUGCUAGAGGUUGGUGAAUUAUCGUGUGUAGCUGUCAAAUGCGUAGAUAUAUGAAGUAACACCAGUGGUGAAGGCGACCAUAAUGAUGGAUACUGACAAUGAGGUCGCACAGCAGUGUCAGCAAACAGGAUUAGAUUCGCUGGUAGUCCACGCUGUAAACGAUGUCAUCUAGCCGUUGGGAGCCUACACAGGAAAUUCCAGCACCCUCUACCAUAAGUUGUCAGUCAGGGAGUACGGCAGCAAGGUUAAAACUCAAAUGAAUUGACGGGGGCCCGCACAAGCGGUGGAGCAUGUGGUUUAAUUCCAAGCAACGCGAAGAACGUUAGCAGGCCUUGACAUCCAAUGAACUUUGUAGAGAUAGAUUGGGGCGUUUGGUAACAUUGAGACAGGUGAACCAUGGCGGUUGUCAUAUUGUGCCUUGAGAUGAAGGGAAAAGUCCUGUAAAUAGGGCAACCUUUGUCACACGUUACCAGCACGUAAUGGUGGGCACUGUAAGGAGACUGCCGGUGACCAACCGGAGGAAGGUGGGGAGUAUGUCAAGUCAUCAUGGCCCAUACGGCCUGAUCAACACACGUGACCCAAUGGUGAUUACAGAGGGUUGCCAACAUUACGAGGUGGAGCUAAUCCCAGAAAACCGAUUCAGUCCGGAUCGCAGUCUGCAACUUGACUGCGUGAAGUCGGAAUCGCUAGUAAUCGCGAAUCAGAAUGUUGCGGUGAAUAUGUUCCCGGGCCUUGUACACACCGCCCGUCACACCAUGGGAGUGGGUUGCACCAGAAGAGCAAGCUUUAACCUUCGGGGGGACGGUUACCACGGUGUCAUUCAUGACAGGGGUGAAGUUGUAACAAGAUAGCAGUAG
rnacentral:rRNA from 1 species